CCGGCGAGUUGAGCUCUCGAAGUUGACCUGCGAGCCUUGGGCACCGGAUCACAGCGUAAGCCCGUAUGAGGAAGGCAUUUAUACUGUGGCCUGGUGCGGGCGCCAAAGGAUUGCAAUGGUGAACGCAACACAAUCACAGCUCAGGGUGUCGGAGCCCAGAGUUCAUUUCCAACAUCUGUAAGAGUGAAAAAGAAAAAAGAAAGAACGCGGAGCCCUGAUGUCGAGAGGGACACGGAACACGGAGCCCCGGUCUCGAGAGGGACACGGAACACGGAGCCCCGAUGUCGAGAGGGACACAGAACACAGAGCCCCGGUGUCGAGAGGGACACGGAACACGGAGCCCCGGUGUCGAGAGGGACACGGAACAC